UGACCUGGCUUGGAGUAAUCAAAAUCUACCCCUGCAAUGGAUGAUGAAUCACCUUCUCAGAGUUUCCUGGAUGACAAAGAAAAAGAACUCCAAGCACUGGGAUAAACACAUGAGAUACAGAAGCACAGGAACAAGAAACAGCUUGAAAUGGCAUGGCUCACAAAAAUAAUCUGGUACCACCAGGUGAUCCGGACAGGACCAGAACCUGACUUCAGGCAGAAGGUUACAGGUGAAAGAGUUGGGAUGGCUAGAGUGCUCAUCACUGAAGAAAAAAAGGAAUGGGGGGCCUGCAGACCUUCAGACCUCCAAAACACCCCACCUGGCUGAGUUCUUCUGACUCAAGACUGCUAAGGCCAGUGGCUGUGCUGCAAGCAUAACAGAAAUCCAUUGAAGAAUUUCUGGAUGUGGUUCAGGAGAGGAAGAGGAAUGUCAAAUUUAAGAACUAAAAGGUGGGAGAAGAAAACUAAAAUAGUUUUCAUCACAUGUAAUGUUUUUGAAAAAAGAAUCCAGCAGUUCUUUCUCAGGGCUCUUUAUAAUAAUGGACCAAGGCUUUUACAGGAUCUCUCAUUACAGUCGUGCUGGCAAUUCGAAAGUAUGUUACUAAUGUUACCAAUUGCAUCACUCGGGAAUGUUUUUCCCACCUCUGUAACUCUUCUGCUUUUGCUUCUUGCUUAUUUGAGUUUCUCUGUCUUUGAGGUCAUGCAAUUGUAAAGACAGUCACAAAUAGAUCCAGAGAGACGCCCUGCAUUCUGCGAAGACCUUUGGUCCUUGAAUAGCAAUUGAAUGUGUUUCUCUAGAAAGGAGAAGAAGUCAAGGUAUUUGGGCUGGAGGUGGUGCAGCCUUCAUUCAUUAUAUAAUUUUCUAGAACCCUAACACCAGUUUGUUUAGGGCAUGAACAUUUACAAAAAUCACAUUAAAAAGAAGCCAGUGGGCGAGUGUGCAUUACUUGUUCAUUGUAUAUAGAGCUCGCAAAUCAAAAAACCUGAUCGCUAGGCUAUGGCUCUAAUUAUGCCCUUUUAUACAACUGCAGCAGGAAUGUCCCAUAUUGUAGGUCACCGAGAAUAUAUUGAAUCCAGGGCCCGCUAAGGCCUUUCCUGAAAAUUGUAGAGGUUUGAGUUAACAGAGCUAGUCUUUUGUGACUUGGAGAAUUUAAACGGAGGAAGGUUGUUUGUACCUGUAAUUUGAGAAGUACCACCUCCUGGGGUAGGGGUAGGCGGCGGGGAGCUUAAUUGUGUCGUGGCUG